GUUGCCUUUUCAACCCUUCACGACUUCGUACAGUAUUCUCUCUCUCAACUCAUUUUUAUCCCUUCUCAACUCGUCUUCAAUCUCUUUUCAACACCCACUUCAUCAUUUCCUCAACCCGUUUCAUCUUUUCUCGUCGUCUCUUGAAUUGUCUUCAACCACUCUAUUUUAGGUUUAAUGGUCGAGAAAAAGAAAUCCCCUAGUCCCCUCAACUCAUCUUCAACCUUUAUUGGUUGUUCUUUGGCCUUCAUUUUCUUGUGGAGAAAAAAACCCCUCUUGUUAUAAUAUUUGUUUCUCUUCCACUCUUCGUCUUUCAACGAAAUGUUAAAGGCUUCGCUCACCGCAUUGCCUCCGAAACAAAUGAGUUUUCCCUUUCGAUUUUGUUGAAUGGUUGAGUUUAGACUGUCUUUGAAACUCAAAUGCUUGCAUGUUCACCACUCGUCUCGGUGAACAUGCAAUUCUGACUCGAUUUUCCUUCUUCCACUUCCCCUUGUCGCUUGGACUUCCAUUUGCCAAUCGGACUUCUUUUCGCACUGAUUUGGACACUUGCUACACUAUCCUUACUAUCAUUUUGUGCAUAUGGGAUGUUCGAGCAAGGUAAGGUUGGAGAAUGGCAAGUUCGUCAUGCACCCAAAAGCAUGUAUGGCCAAAAGAGAAGGAGGCCAACCUCGUGAAGUGUCCGGUGGAUCUGGUCGAUGGAAGUUAGACAAUGGGACGUUUAGACCAGGUUACCUGACACAAUUGGUUCGGAUGAUGGUCGUGAAGUUGUCAGGCUACAAUAUCCACUCUAUUACUGUCAUCGACUGUCGUAUCAAGACGUCGAAGCGAGUAUUCUAAGCAAUAAUAGCCAAAUUGUAGGGCCUCGAAUGCAAUGGGUUCGGAUGGAAUGAUGAUGAGAAGUGCAUAUAGUUGCUAAAAAGAAAUUGUUGAACAACUGGGUCAUGACUCAUCCAGCAGUAAAAGGCCUCUUGAACAAGUUGUUCCCCUAUUAUGACAAGCUGUCAUAUGUGUUCGAAAAAACAGGGCAAUGGGAGGACGUACAAAGACCUUUGCAGACGUCGGUUCCAACGUGCCUAGUGGGUACGAGUAUCCACAUUCGAAUCUGAAUGAUAUGAAAUUUCAUUCUAUCUUCGGACAUGGAUUCAACAUGUCGCAAGAAGACGUUGCAUGGCCUAGUCGAGCAAGCGAUAGUAGGACAGGUUCAAGUGGCUCAAAGUGAAGGAUGAGAGGCCAGCCUGUGGAUACUGAUGAUGUCAUUAAGGAUGCCAAGGACUAUUAAACUUACCAGCUAAGGCUAAUUGCAGAGUGGCCACGGUUAGCACUACAGGAUGAAAGUACUGCUCGCAAGGACUUAAUUUGAGCGUUGCAUGUCAUCCCUAAGCUAAAUAGGUCGGAAAGGGUGUCUUGCACUCGGAUACUUAUGAACAAUUUAGCUGAUCUGAAAAGUUUUCUUGAAGUGUCAGACGACGAGAGGAUUGACUACUGCAGAGUGAUCUUACGAGAUGGUGUGUGAUUGUUUUUGUACUUCCUUGUUUACAGAUCGUUAUUGUUUUUUUUUUUUUAAUGCUUCUAUUUAUGUCUAUGUGUAGUUUUCUUAUGUUUGUAAUUUUCUUCCAUCGAACGUGUCCUUAAGAAGACCUUUUAUUUAUUUUCAUCGUAGUGAAGUUAUGCUUGACGUUGUAUAUCUUAUUUCCACAAAUUUUUAUUUCCACAAAUUUGUAAUGUUUAUGGGUUA